rnacentral:rRNA from 1 species
UACGUAGGGAGCAAGCGUUGUCCGGAAUCAUUGGGCGUAAAGCGCGCGUAGGUGGCCUCAUAAGUCCGCUGUGAAAGUCAAAGGCUCAACCUUUGAAAGCCGGUGGAUACUGUGAGGCUAGAGUACGGAAGAGGCGAGUGGAAUUCCUGGUGUAGCGGUGGAAUGCGCAGAUAUCGGGAGGAACACCAGUAGCGAAGGCGACACUCUGGGCCGGUACUGACGCUGAGGAGCGAAAGCGUGGGGAGCAAACAGG